AUUGAACGCUGGCGGCGUGGCUAAAGCAUGCAAGUCGAACGGGUCCGCAAGGACUAGUGGCGGAAGGGUCAGUAACACGAUCGAACGUGCCCCGAGGUGGGGGAUAGCGGCGGGAAACUGCCGGUAAUACCCCAUGAUCUCUCCGGAGCAAAGGUUUACCGCCUUGGGAUCGGCGAUCGUCCUAUCAGCUAGUUGGCGGGGUAACGGCCCACCAAGGCUAUGACGGGUAGCAGGUGUGAGAGCACGACCUGCGACAUCGGGACUGAGACACUGCCCGGACUCCUACGGGAGGCUGCAGCGACGAAUCUUCCGCAAUGGGGGCAACCCCGACGGAGCGACGCCGCGUGUGGGAUGAAGCGCCUACGGCGUGUAAACCACUGUCAGGGGACAGAACCAAUGAUCGUCCCCAGAGGAAGAGACGGCUAACCCUGUGCCAGCAGCCGCGGUAAGACAGGGGUCUCGAGCGUUAAUCGGAAUCACUGGGCUUAAAGGGUGCGUAGGCGGACCGACACGCCG
rnacentral:rRNA from 1 species